CGCUGCCCAUGCGUCUUUCCCACUCACAGGAAGUUUUCCAUGGAGAUUCUCACGAUAGCGCCCUCGACGAACGAUGUAUUUGCGCUUCGUCGAUCGUCCGAUCGCGGCUGGCUUUCCUUCGAGAGGGAACACAACACCCAAAGGGAAAAACAACAGGAUAAACAGCCACCUACCUCCAAACCUGGGACCAGAAUCAAGUUUUAAAUGACUUUGAAAACACCAUCAUGUCCCAAUUUUGGCUGUAAAUUACGAAUUACUUUAGUCUGGAUUUCAUAUGAAUUGCAACAGAAAGCUAGAUCUCCUAAGAAGUCUUAUUUUUCAUAAAGAUUGACCAAUCUUCCAGACAAACUUUGAAGCCAAGAAAAUCCUACCAAUAAGUUUCCUUCCACAUGGAUUCAGUUGUCCCUUUCCAGGAAUUAUUUAUAUAUCCUUCUUCUCAAUGAAUAGACUUUUUUUUAAAAAAAUGUGACGUUUCUUCUCAUAUAUUUUCAUUUUUUUUAAUUGGAGGAGAAAGGGAAAGUUGUUCUUUAUUUUCCUGGCAAGCCAGGUGAUAGCAGAGGCAAGGAUUUGGGGGCAGAAGCACCAUCUUACACACCAAAGCAAUGGUCUUCCACAUUAUUUGUAUUCUCUGCCUUGUUCAGCAAGGAGUAACUUCACUGGAAGAGCCUCUACCUGUGCCUUCAUUAUUUGGAUGUAAAAGCUCCACCAGUCUUACUUUUACUUGGAGGCCUGAAGGCCACUACUCCAGAUUCAGAGGAAACCUGUACAUAUAUUUUUUAGAAGAAUUUACUUUUAGAAGGAAGAAUUUUGGUUGCAUCAAAAUGUAUUCUUCCCCCAACAGAAUAACUUUCCUUUUCCUCUUUGUGUCCUUCUUAAAAUCUAUUCUGGGGAGUUGAAAGAUGGUUCAUGAGCACAGAUCUAUACACCCUUUGGACUGACCCACAUUCUCACAGAAAUGUGUAACAGUUGCUUUGAUAUUUUUAUUCCUGCACCUCUUCCUUCAUACUAUUAUAUGUAACUGAAAUCCAAACUGUACAACAUUAGAUCUAUAUAUUUAAAUUAUCUAAAACUGGAUAGAGAGAGACAUAGUACUAUGAGCAAAUAGUCAAUUGAAAUUGUUUGCUAGAUUUAUGAAGUGUAAAGAAUAAAUGAUUUAUUGAAUUUGUCCUUUUUUUGUAUAUAAGUUUUAGACUGCUUGAAAAAUGGCUAUACAAUGAAAGAUGGAGCAUUUCACAAACCUCUCCUUCAAUAUCUCCUUCCUAAGUAAGGGCAAAAACAUCACACAGCAUUCAUGAGAAUAUCUAUAUAAUUUUCUUCGGAAAAUAAUUUGUAAAGCAAAUUCUCCAUCAAAUUAAAUAAGAACCGUAAGGAAAAAAAACAUGAGAAUUUCUGUGCAUAACAUCUGAUACUGCUAUGAUCUUUAAUGACAGACAGGCUUAUUUUGGUUGCUUAUGCAAUCAAUUUAGACUCAAUCAAUUCAAGACUAUCCAGUGCUAUUUUAAAUUGGCAUGUUUCAGUCACAUUUUCUCCUUACAGGUCUUGGGGAAUUUAUGCCUGCUGCUGGCAUUUAACAAACUUGUCAACCAGAAAUUUAUCCCUCCAAAUAUUCUGGGCCAUAAGUUAAACAGAUACCCAUUCCUAUAAAGGGAUUGUUA